UUCGCAAUGCCCGAAAGGGUGAACGAGCGACGCCGCGUGGAGAACGAAGGCCUUCGGGUUGUAAACUCCUGUCGAGGGGGAAGAAGGCGCAAGCGUGACUGAACCCUGGAGGAAGCACGGGCUAAGUUCGUGCCAGCAGCCGCGGUAAGACGAACCGUGCGAACGUUAUUCGGAAUCACUGGGCUUAAAGCGCGUGUAGGCGGGACGGCACGUCGGUCGCUGAAAGCCCCCGGCUCAACCGGGGAACGGGCGCCGAGACGACCGCCCUGGAGGGACGUAGGGGGACCUGGAACUUCCGGUGGAGCGGUGAAAUGCGUUGAGAUCGGAAGGAACGCCCGUGGCGAAAGCGAGGUCCUGGACGUCUGCUGACGCUGAGACGCGAAAGCCAGGGGAGCAAACGGGAUUAGAUACCCCGGUAGUCCUAGCCGUAAACGAUGGGCACUAAGUAGAGGGGUUUU
rnacentral:rRNA from 1 species